rnacentral:rRNA from 1 species
GAUGAACGCUGGCGGCGUGCUUAACACAUGCAAGUCGAACGAAGCACCUUGAUUUGAUUCUUCGGAUGAAGAUCUUGGUGACUGAGUGGCGGACGGGUGAGUAACGCGUGGGUAACCUGCCUCAUACAGGGGGAUAACAGUUAGAAAUGACUGCUAAUACCGCAUAAGACCACAGCACCGCAUGGUGCAGGGGUAAAAACUCCGGUGGUAUGAGAUGGACCCGCGUCUGAUUAGGUAGUUGGUGGGGUAACGGCCUACCAAGCCGACGAUCAGUAGCCGACCUGAGAGGGUGACCGGCCACAUUGGGACUGAGACACGGCCCAAACUCCUACGGGAGGCAGCAGUGGGGAAUAUUGCACAAUGGGGGAAACCCUGAUGCAGCGACGCCGCGUGAGCGAUGAAGUGUUUCGGUAUGUAAAGCUCUAUCAGCAGGGAAGAAAAUGACGGUACCUGACUAAGAAGCACCGGCUAAAUACGUG